UGGGGAAUUGUUCGCAAUGGGCGCAAGCCUGACGACGCAACGCCGCGUGGAGGAUGAAGGUCUUCGGAUUGUAAACUCCUGUUGCUCGGGACGAAAUGCCUCGACCUAAUACGUCGAAGUUUGACGGUACCGAGUGAGGAAGCCCCGGCUAACUCUGUGCCAGCAGCCGCGGUAAUACAGAGGGGGCAAGCGUUGUUCGGAAUUACUGGGCGUAAAGGGCGCGUAGGCGGCCUGUUAAGUCGAACGUGAAAUCCCUGGGCUCAACCCAGGAACUGCGUCCGAUACUGGCAGGCUUGAAUCCGGGAGAGGGAUGCGGAAUUCCAGGUGUAGCGGUGAAAUGCGUAGAUAUCUGGAGGAACACCGGUGGCGAAGGCGGCAUCCUGGAACGAUACUGACGCUGAGGUGCGAAAGCGUGGGGAGCAAACAGGAUUAGAUACCCCAGUAGUCCCUGAGCGGGCUGGCAAGGCGCAU
rnacentral:rRNA from 1 species